GGAGAAGAGAGAGCACGUGACAUACCAUGUCCAGCAACAGGGCAGAAAUGGAAACAGGACUGCAAUUGCUGAUCUUGACUCUAAAAUGGUUCUUUUCAUCUCACAGAAUGGAUGAAGAUUGAUCUUGACCGGAUACUUUUUCAAAUGGAGGAUAGAAGUAACACAAAACAAGGCAACAGCAGCUCUCCAGUGUUUGGUUCAAUGUGCUUUCUUUCUAAAAUAAAAACACCAGAACUGGGAAUGAA